AUGAUGCACGCGUCCCCAGGGCAGCACCCAUGCCCCACGCUCUGUCUCCCUUAUUCCCACCCCGAUCGCACGUCUCUUUCUGUCUUUUCUCUCCCUCUCGAUCCAAAUCGAGCACGCCGCCGGCGCUUGCAACCACCUCGACCCCCUGCCCCGGCGAACUCCUCGCCCCUCGGUCCUGGGCUCGCCAGCCACCACUUCGCCCGGCGGCCACAGACACUUCCCCCUUCGCCCCCAGCACCGCCGGCCCCGUCCACUUCCCCCGUCGCCAUCGUAGGCCCACCGGUGGCGUGCAGAUAUGGCCUCUACUUCCUCUUCGUCAAGUCGGAGACCAAGACCCCGAGCGGGCUGACGGCGCGGCCAGUGCUCACCAGCUACUACAAGAGUGAGCAGUUCAAGAACCGCCCCUACGACCCGUACCACAACUACACCAGCCCGACGGCGGCAAUCCUCUGCGCGGACGCCUUCCAGAGCAUGUACGCGCAGAUGGUGUGCGGCCUGUGCCAGCGCCAUGAGGUGCUCCGCGUUGGCGCCGUGUUCUCCUCCGGCCUCCUACGUGCGAUUCGCUUCCUCCAGCUCAACUGGAAGGAGCUCGCCACCGACAUCGAGGCCGGCGCGCUCAGCCCAUGUGUCACCGACGCGUCCGUGCGCGAGGCGGUCGCGGGCAUCCUCCGGCCGGACCCCGAGCUUGCCCAGUUCGUCCGGGACGAGUGCUGCAACGACGACUGGGCCGGCAUCGUCAGGCGCAUUUGGCCCAACACCAAGUACCUCGACGUCAUCGUCACCGGCGCCAUGGCGCAGUACAUCGGCACCCUCAAGUACCUCGCUGGCCUCCAUCUCACCAGCCGGCCCUGGCCUGGUCGCUCGUCGCCCCCGGCGGCCGUCGCGCCCCGUCGCUCGUCGCCCCCUGCAGCCUGCACGCCCCGUCACCCCGCCGGCCUCCGGCGGCUCCGACCCCGUCACCCGUGCAGGCCUCCGACGGCCUUGACCCCUGGCACCGGCCCCGGCCUCGACAGCAGCCGUGCGCUCGGCUUCGCGAACUCCGCUGCGACAGCAGCCACCCUUGCGUGCCUCCCCGCGGCGCCGGAGCGAGUCAGCUCCUGA
rnacentral:rRNA from 1 species